rnacentral:siRNA from 1 species
UAAUCUUCGGACGUAACCACAUGA